rnacentral:rRNA from 1 species
UACAGAGGUCUCAAGCGUUGUUCGGAUUCAUUGGGCGUAAAGGGUGCGUAGGCGGCGCGGUAAGUCGGAUGUGAAAUCUCGGAGCUUAACUCCGAAACUGCAUUCGAUACUGCCGUGCUUGAGGACUGGAGAGGAGACUGGAAUUUACGGUGUAGCGGUGAAAUGCGUAGAUAUCGUAAGGAAGACCAGUGGCGAAGGCGGGUCUCUGGACAGUUCCUGAUGCUGAGGCACGAAGGUCAGGGGAGCAAACGGG